rnacentral:tRNA from 1 species
GGUUAUAGCUCUGUGGUAGAGUGCUUGCCUAGCACGUGUGAGGCACUGGGUUCGAUCCUCAGCACCA